CCUAGGCUCUCAGAGGCGAUGAAGGACGUGAUAAGCUGCGAAAAGCUGCGGGGAUUGGCACAUACAAUUUGAUCCGCAGAUAUCCGAAUGGGGCAACCCACUAUAUUGAAGAUAUAGUAUCCGAAAGGAGGUGAACCCGGAGAACUGAAACAUCUAAGUACCCGGAGGAGAAGAAAACAAAAGUGAUUCCGUUAGUAGUGGCGAGCGAACGCGGAUUAGCCCAAACCAAUAUUGUUACGGCAAUGUUGGGGUUGUAGGACUACAAUAUUUGAAACUAAGUUAACUAGAAUUGUUUGGAAAGACAAACCGUAGAGAGUGAUAGUCUCGUAAAGGUAAGCGAAGUGGAGAUAGUAGUAUCCUGAGUAGUGCGGGGCACGUGUAACCCUGUGUGAAUUUGGCGGGACCAUC
rnacentral:rRNA from 1 species